rnacentral:rRNA from 1 species
UACGUAGGGACCAAGCGUUGUUCGGAUUUACUGGGCGUAAAGGGCGCGUAGGCGGCAAUUCAAGUCAGCUGUGAAAUCUCCGGGCUUAACUCGGAACGGUCAGCUGAUACUGCUUUGCUAGAGUGCAGAAGGGCAAUCGGAAUUCUUGGUGUAGCGGUGAAAUGCGUAGAUAUCAAGAGGAACACCUGAGGUGAAGACGGGUUGCUGGGCUGACACUGACGCUGGAGUGCGCGAAAGCCUAGGGUAGAAACGGG